GCUUUCGUGGAGUAGCGGUAGCAUAUUUGACUCGUAUUCGAAAGGACCAGGUUCGAUUCCCGGCGAGGACU
rnacentral:tRNA from 1 species